rnacentral:misc_RNA from 1 species
UAUGCCUGUUUGAGAAUCACACUAUCACCGAUCCGAUUGCAUCCACGUGCAGUCGGUCGACAUGGGCCUUCAGCACUGAUCGCCUCGAAUUGCUCGCGAUCGUCGUGGUAGACAGGUGUGGCAGCGAUGCCCUCCAGUGUUGUCGACGAUCAACCCGUGCUCGUGAUCUCAAAUCAGGCAAGGCUACCCGCUGAACUUAA